UAAAAUGCAAUUUUCAAUUGAAUCAUUGAAGGAAGAUAAUAUUUUGAUCAAGAUUAAUUGAGUCUUUGAAAUGAUUCAAUUUUUAAGAUGAAUAGAAAUUUCAAAUUUGUAUAUAUAUAUGAUUAUUUUACAGUCUUUGAAAUGAUCCAUGAAUACAUUUACAGUCUCUGUCAGUAUGAGUAUUUGAUUGAUAUAAUAUAAUCAUAAUUUCAUCGUUUGUGGGACUUUGCAGAUCCCAAAUCCUAUCGUAGUAAAAUAUAGGGAAAGAAAAUCCAAUACACUUUUAUUUCAUAGUUUGCCUAAAAUGAUAAAUAAAUAAAUAAAGCG
rnacentral:lncRNA from 1 species